rnacentral:rRNA from 1 species
UACGAAGGGUGCAAGCGUUACUCGGAAUUACUGGGCGUAAAGCGUGCGUAGGCGGUUUGUUAAGUCCGUUGUGAAAGCCCUGGGCUCAACCUGGGAAUUGCAGUGGAUACUGGCGAGCUAGAGUGCGGUAGAGGAUGGUGGAAUUCCCGGUGUAGCGGUGAAAUGCGUAGAGAUCGGGAGGAACACCCGUGGCGAAGGCGGCCAUCUGGACCAGCACUGACGCUGAGGCACGAAAGCGUGGGAGCAAACAGGG